UUAAUUGAAGAGUUUGAUCAUGGCUCAGAUUGAACGCUGGCGGCAGGCCUAACACAUGCAAGUCGAGCGGUAACAGAAAUUAGCUUGCUAAUUUGCUGACGAGCGGCGGACGGGUGAGUAAUGCCUGGGAAUAUGCCUUAGUGUGGGGGAUAACUAUUGGAAACGAUAGCUAAUACCGCAUAACGUCUUCGGACCAAAGAGGGGGACCUUCGGGCCUCUCGCGCUAAGAUUAGCCCAGGUGGGAUUAGCUAGUUGGUGGGGUAAAGGCUCACCAAGGCAACGAUCCCUAGCUGGUCUGAGAGGAUGAUCAGCCACACUGGAACUGAGACACGGUCCAGACUCCUACGGGA
rnacentral:rRNA from 1 species